GUCUACAGCCAUGCCACCCUGAACGAGCCCGAUCUUGUCUGAUCUUAAAAGCUAAGCACGGUCGGGCCUAGUUAGUACUUGGAUGGGAGACCACCUAGGAAUACAAGGUGCUGUAGGCA
rnacentral:rRNA from 1 species